GUGGAUUAGAUACCCGGGUAGUCCUAGCCGUAAACGAUGGAAACUAGGUGUUGCCCGUAUCGACCCGGGCAGUGCCGUAGCCAACGCGUUAAGUUUCCCGCCUGGGGAGUACGCACGCAAGUGUGAAACUCAAAGGAAUUGACGGGGGCCCGCACAAGCGGUGGAGUAUGUGGUUUAAUUCGAUGCAACGCGAAGAACCUUACCAGGGCUUGACAUGUCGCGAAUCCUUGUGAAAGCAGGGAGUGCCUUCGGGAGCGCGAACACAGGUGGUGCACGGCCGUCGCCAGCU
rnacentral:rRNA from 1 species